GAUGAAGAACGUAGCGAAAUGCGAUACGUAAUGUGAAUUGCAGAAUUCAGUGAAUCAUCGAGUCUUUGAACGCACAUUGCGCCCCCUGGUAUUCCGGGGGGCAUGCCUGUCCGAGCGUCAUUGCUGCCCUCAAGCACGGCUUGUGUGUAGGGCCUCCGUCCUCCUCCCGGGGGACGGGCCCGAAAGGCAGCGGCGGCACCGCGUCCGGUCCUCGAGCGUAUGGGGCUUCGUCACCCGCUCUUGUAGGCCCGGCCGGCGCUUGCCGACACAUCAAUCUUUUUUCCAGGUUGACCUCGGAUCAGGUAGGGAUACCCGCUGAACUUAAGCAUAUCAAUAAGCGGAGGA
rnacentral:misc_RNA from 1 species